CGUGUUGCCGUUGCCUUGUGGCUUGUCGGUUCCGUCGGAAGUCCGAACACGAUACUCGCAUCGCACCGUGCUCUGUGCCUCGGGUUCACCGAGGAUAGCGGAAGGUUGGGUCCCUAUUGGGCCAUAAGGAGACGGGCCUGUUUGCAUCCAGGUUUUAAUCCGAUAGAAAUAAGUUCAUUUAAGGUCCCUUAACUUGUCAACGAAUCCGAUUUUCGUUCCUCAACCAGAAAAUAUGAUGGGUCCCUCAACUGUCAAAACCAGUGCAGAUGAGGUCCCUCGGCGGUUUUGACGGCGGUUUUGGCUGACGUAUCGCCUACGUGGCUAAUUUGACUUGGUCUUCAUCUGAUAUGGCAUUGACGUGGCGCUUACGUGGCAAUUCGACCAAAAAAAAAAAACUUCGUGGGACCCACAUGUCAGUUUUACACAUAAAUUAAUAAAAAAUGGUGGGGCCCCACCAGUCAUUCUCAGCCCCCCUUUCUUCCUCCUCUCUCCCCAUCUCCCUCUCCUCAACUCUCUCUCCCCUCUCCAGUCCCCCAUGGCUUCUGAGCGCCCGCUGCCGCCGCCGACGUCGUUGCUGCUCCCGCCGACGCAGCCGGAGUCCGCCCAUCCGCGCCGACUGCCUCGUUUUCUCCCUCGAGGCCAACCCCUUCCGCCGGGAGCCCGACCCAUCGGCCGCGUCGCAGCGGGAGGUGGAGGAGUCCACCAUGGCGCAGACGUUGGUGGGCACAAGACUAGCGUCGGCGUCAGCCUGCAUCACCUCGAGCAGCUUCGCCGGGUCAAGGCCGUAGUCUGUCUCCGCUCCAGUGGGAUCGACUGGAUGUUGGCUGGAUCGAAUAUAACAUGUUCGUGUGGCUCAAACCUCAAAGGCUGAAGCCGACGCCGGUCUCGUGCCGAACGGAUGUCGUCCAGCCGUCGCCAUCCUCGCCGCAGCGGACGCCGUGAACGACGACGUACUUGCGCUGGUGGUCUUCAAGUCGGGGGUGUCCGACCCGGGGGGCCUAUUGGCGCCGUGGUCGGAGGAUGCCGACCGCGCCUGCGCCUGGCCCAGGGUGUCAUGCGACGCGCGGACGGGGCGCGUCGACGUGGUCGCGCUCCCGGCCGUGGGUUUCUUCGGCCGCCUCCCGCGGUCCGCUCUGCUCCGCCGCCCGUCGGUCGUCGCGCCCGAGAGAGAAGAGAGAGGAGAGAGGAGAGAGGAGAGAGACGGACAGAGGGGAGAUUGGGAGUGAGGAGGAAGAAGAGGGGAGUGAGAUUGACAGGUGGGGGCCACGUUGGCCCCGCCUUUUUUAAUUAUUGUUUUUUGUGUAACUUACAUGUGGGCCCGAUGUUUUUAUCAUUUUCAAAACUAAAUUGCCACGUAAGCAUCACGUUAAUGCCAUGUGAGA